rnacentral:lncRNA from 1 species
UCGCGACAUCAAAGGUAGUUUCAUCCUUUCUCUAUUUUUUUUGUAUGUUGCAACAUCGUACCUCCCGUGUUGUGACAUAACAUCCAGUGUUGGCCUAAAAUGCCUUCUAAUGGUCUUCUGCACACUCACGAAGUACGUUAGCUCUCCCUUAGGCCUCAUUCGACCCUUAAGGUCAAUAAAACACUCAUUUUGCACAUUUUAUUAGAUUUAAGUAAAACUACAUAAACUUACCUAUAAUAUAAUAAAUAUGCUUGUGUUCAGCCUCCUUAAG